rnacentral:pre_miRNA from 1 species
GGAAACUACCGUUGGAUCGAGAAAUGGACGUCCGAGAUUCGUCCACGUCACCAUGAGUUAAAAUUUAACUCCUAGUAAAAUUUUAACUCCUAGUAAAAUUUAACCAUGAGUGAAUCUACGAGUUAAAUUUUAACUCAGGGUGACGUGGACGAAUCUCGGACGUCCAUUUCUCGAUCCAACGGUAGUUUUCAUGUUUCC